CAGCCGCCACGGGAAUACGGAGGGAGCUAGCGUUGUUCGGAAUUACUGGGCGUAAAGCGCACGUAGGCGGUUAUUCAAGUCAGAGGUGAAAGCCCGGGGCUCAACCCCGGAACUGCCUUUGAAACUAGAUGACUGGAAUCUUGGAGAGGUCAGUGGAAUUCCGAGUGUAGAGGUGAAAUUCGUAGAUAUUCGGAAGAACACCAGUGGCGAAGGCGACUGACUGGACAAGUAUUGACGCUGAGGUGCGAAAGCGUGGGGAGCAAACAGGAUUAGAUACCCGUGUAGUCCCUGUCUCUUAUAC
rnacentral:rRNA from 1 species